rnacentral:misc_RNA from 1 species
AACGCACGAGACCUGCGGACCUGCGGAGGGAUCAUUACCGAGUUUACAACUCCCAAACCCAAUGUGAACGUUACCAAACUGUUGCCUCGGCGGGAUCUCUGCCCCGGGUGCGUCGCAGCCCCGGACCAAGGCGCCCGCCGGAGGACCAACCUAAAACUCUUAUUGUAUACCCCCUCGCGGGUUUUUUUAUAAUCUGAGCCCUCUCGGCGCCUCUCGUAGGCGUUUCGAAAAUGAAUCAAA